UACGUAGGGGGCGAGCGUUGUCCGGAUUCAUUGGGCGUAAAGAGCUCGUAGGCGGUUCAGUAAGUCAGGUGUGAAAUCUCCACGCUUAACGUGGAGGGGCCAUUCGAAACUGCUGUGACUCGAGUCCGGUAGGGGAGUGUGGAAUUCCGCGUGUAGCAGUGAAAUGCGUAGAUAUGCGGAGGAACACCGAUGGCGAAGGCAAUCCCCUGGGCCUGCACUGACGCUCAUGCACGAAAGCGUGGGGAGCAAACAGG
rnacentral:rRNA from 1 species